rnacentral:rRNA from 1 species
AUGCUGUCGGCUGGCAUCAAGUUCGAUCCCACGGAUCAGGAGCUGAUCGAGCACCUUGAGGGCAAAGUGAGUGCUGACAGCGCGAGAUCUCACCCUCUCAUCGAUUUGUUCAUACCAACCAUCGACAGCGAGCAAGGCAUAUGCUACACAAAUCCUGAGAAACUUCCAGACCUAGUGAAGCAAUUACAAUUUGACAGUUAA